rnacentral:rRNA from 1 species
CUGUGUGUUGUUGGGUAGGGGAGCGUUCUGUAAGCCUGUGAAGGUGUGUCGUGAGGCAUGCUGGAGGUAUCAGAAGUGCGAAUGCUGACAUAAGUAACGAUAAAGCGGGUGAAAAGCCCGCUCGCCGGAAGACCAAGGGUUCCUGUCCAACGUUAAUCGGGGCAGGGUGAGUCGACCCCUAAGGCGAGGCCGAAAGGCGUAGUCGAUGGGAAACGGGUUAAUAUUCCCGUACUUGGUGUUACUGCGAAGGGGGGACGGAGAAGGCUAUGUUGGCCGGGCGACGGUUGUCCCGGUUUAAGCGUGUAGGUGUGUGUUCCAGGUAAAUCCGGUUCACUUUAACACUGAGGCGUGACGACGAGGCACUACGGUGCUGAAGCAACAAAUGCCCUGCUUCCAGGAAAAGCCUCUAAGCAUCAGGUAACAUCAAAUCGUACCCCAAACCGACACAGGUGGUCAGGUAGAGAAUACCAAGGCGCUUGAGAGAACUCGGGUGAAGGAACUAGGCAAAAUGGUGCCGUAACUUCGGGAGAAGGCACGCUGACACGUAGGUGAAGUGAUUUACUCAUGGAGCU